rnacentral:lncRNA from 1 species
AAACUGGACUCAAACCAAGCCAGCAUAUGGCUUGACUUUCAUCAUAAUAAGGGUCUUCUGGUGCCGAACUACUAACCAGAUGCAUUGCCUCCCUGGUCAGUCCACAGCUGUAGAAAUAACAGGCACCUCGUUCCAAACCUGUAUCCCGGACAGUGACACCUGGCUUAUGGAAGUAAGGACAGCCCACACUUCCCCAUGACAAGAUGGCUUUCUCUGCAGCGUUCGCUCUUCACAGCCAGGCUGGACGAGGGCAGGUGUCCCCUGCGCUUGACAGAUGAGGGUGUCUGGGUUGGAGAGGAAUGUGGACACAUUGCUCAAGGUCGAACAUCAAUAGAGAGCUGUGCAGUGAUGCAGACAACAGCCAACCCCAUCGCUCCCCAGCCCGUUCCACAUCCUCUUCCUCUGUGAGUGCCAGUAUGGGCAAGGAUGUCUAUGGCUGAGGUCAGACAGGCUUUGAUGUAACUCCAGCAUCCACACUGUCACAUAUGGCUGACUCUGCUCAUAGGGAGACUCCCCAGAAAGAGAACUUACAUCUCGCACCUGGCGUACCCCCAAAUCCCUCCUCAUCCCUCCCCCUCCAUCAACCGCCCUG